GGGGAUUUGGCUCAGUGGUAGAGCGCUUAGCAAGCGCAAGGCCCUGGGUUCGAUCCCCAGCUCCG
rnacentral:tRNA from 1 species